rnacentral:rRNA from 1 species
AGUGAACGCUGGCGGUAGGCCUAACACAUGCAAGUCGAACGGCAGCACAGUAAGAGCUUGCUCUUGCGGGUGGCGAGUGGCGGACAGGUGAGGAAUACAUCGGAAUCUACUUUUUCGUGGGGGAUAACGUAGGGAAACUUACGCUAAUACCGCAUACGACCUACGGGUGAAAGCAGGGGAUCUUCGGACCUUGCGCGAUUGAAUGAGCCGAUGUCGGAUUAGCUAGUUGGCGGGGUAAAGGCCCACCAAGGCGACGAUCCGUAGCUGGUCUGAGAGGAUGAUCAGCCACACUGGAACUGAGACACGGUCCAGACUCCUACGGGAGGCAGCAGUGGGGAAUAUUGGACAAUGGGCGCAAGCCUGAUCCAGCCAUACCGCGUGGGUGAAGAAGGCCUUCGGGUUGUAAAGCCCUUUUGUUGGGAAAGAAAAGCAGCAGGUUAAUACCCCGCUGUUCUGACGGUACCCAAAGAAUAAGCACCGGCUAACUUCGUG